rnacentral:rRNA from 1 species
UUGCACGCUGGCGGCAUGCCUUACACAUGCCAGUCGCACGGCAGCACGGGUGCUUGCCCCUGGUGGCGAGUGGCGAACGGGUGAGUAAUACAUCGGAACAUGUCCUGUAGUGGGGGAUAGCCCGGCGAAAGCCGGAUUAAUACCGCAUACGAUCUACGGAUGAAAGCGGGGGACCUUCGGGCCUCGCGCUAUAGGGUUGGCCGAUGGCUGAUUAGCUAGUUGGUGGGGUAAAGGCCUACCAAGGCGACGAUCAGUAGCUGGUCUGAGAGGACGACCAGCCACACUGGGACUGAGACACGGCCCAGACUCCUACGGGAGGCAGCAGUGGGGAAUUUUGGACAAUGGGCGAAAGCCUGAUCCAGCAAUGCCGCGUGUGUGAAGAAGGCCUUCGGGUUGUAAAGCACUUUUGUCCGGAAAGAAAUCCUUGGCUCUAAUACAGUCGGGGGAUGACGGUACCGGAAGAAUAAGCACCGGCUAACUACGUG